GUCGAACGGCAGCACGGGGGCAACCCUGGUGGCGAGUGGCGAACGGGUGAGUAAUACAUCGGAACGUGUCCUGUAGUGGGGGAUAGCCCGGCGAAAGCCGGAUUAAUACCGCAUACGAUCUACGGAUGAAAGCGGGGGAUCUUCGGACCUCGCGCUGGAGGGGCGGCCGAUGGCAGAUUAGCUAGUUGGUGGGGUAAAGGCCCACCAAGGCGACGAUCUGUAGCUGGUCUGAGAGGACGACCAGCCACACUGGGACUGAGACACGGCCCAGACUCCUACGGGAGGCAGCAGUGGGGAAUUUUGGACAAUGGGGGCAACCCUGAUCCAGCAAUGCCGCGUGUGUGAAGAAGGCCUUCGGGUUGUAAAGCACUUUUGUCCGGAAAGAAAACAUCCUGGCUAAUACCUGGGGUGGAUGACGGUACCGGAAGAAUAAGCACUGGCUAACUACGUGCCAGCAGCCGCGGUAAUACGUAGGGUGCGAGCGUUAAUCGGAAUUACUGGGCGUAAAGCGUGCGCAGGCGGUUCGCUAAGACCGAUGUGAAAUCCCCGGGCUUAACCUGGGAACUGCAUUGGUGACUGGCGGGCUAGAGUAUGGCAGAGGGGGGUAGAAUUCCACGUGUAGCAGUGAAAUGCGUAGAGAUGUGGAGGAAUACCGAUGGCGAAGGCAGCCCCCUGGGCCAAUACUGACGCUCAUGCACGAAAGCGUGGGGAGCAAACAGGAUUAGAUACCCUGGUAGUCCACGCCCUAAACGAUGUCAACUAGUUGUUGGGGAUUCAUUUCCUUAGUAACGUAGCUAACGCGUGAAGUUGACCGCCUGGGGAGUACGGUCGCAAGAUUAAAACUCAAAGGAAUUGACGGGGACCCGCACAAGCGGUGGAUGAUGUGGAUUA
rnacentral:rRNA from 1 species